AGGAUAAACGCUGGCGGCGUGCCUAACACAUGCAAGUCGAACGUCUCUUCUUUCGGGAAGAGGAGUGGCGGACGGGUGAGGAACACGUGGGAACCUGCCCUUUAGUGAGGAAUACCGGCGAGAAAUCGCCGACAAGACCGCAUAGCCCUCUUUGAUGAGAGUCAAAGAAGGAAAGCUUCGCAAGAGGCGCUAGAGGAGGGGCCUGCGUCCGAUUAGCUAGUUGGUGGGGUAAGAGCCUACCAAGGCGUCGAUCGGUAGCUGGUCUGAGAGGACGAUCAGCCACACUGGGAUUGAGAACGGCCCAGACUCCUACGGGGGGCAGCAGUGAGGAAUUUUCGGCAAUGGGGGAAACCCUGACCGAGCAACGCCGCGUGCAGGAAGACGGCCUUCGGGUUGUAAACUGCUUUCUUUGGGAGAGGAAGGACGGUACCAGAGGAAUCAGCCCCGGCUCACUACGUGCCAGCAGCCGC
rnacentral:rRNA from 1 species